GUCUGGAUAGCUCAGCUGGGUUACAGUGUGGCACUGAUAAUGCCAAUACUGCUGGUUCAAUCCUUGUAUGGGGACA